rnacentral:lncRNA from 1 species
UGUUUCCAAAGGAUGCCAAUUGUUUUGGAAAUUCAUUAAAAAUGCUAAAAAAUGUUAUGACUUACUAUAAAAAAUUAUAUUUUUCCUACUAAAUGCUAAAUUAGAAUAAAUAUUGCAAAAUGGGUUGGUGGGUAUUGGAAAAUGGAUUUGCGGGUAAUUUGUUACCCGCGGGUAGAUGGUUCGCCAUCACUGCCCUAGAGGUAAAGGGGGCCGACAAGCCCGUCCAGUAUUUGAGGCCGCGUUGUGCCUGCAUGCGGCGGUGGCUGCAGCCCCGCCGCCAUCCCGUAUAUAUGGUAGUGACGAUUUCUUUUUCCCUGACAGGAGUACAUAUCGGCAGAGCUGACGACAGACUCAAAGCCAAGCACGUCUAGAGAGUAGAAAUCUGUUUCGUUGUCAAUAAAAUAUAUUUAUAUAUUGAUAGUACCGGUUGCUUAUUUAAUCCAAGGGGAUAUGCUACGGGUAGUCCGCAAUCGUUUCCAUUGUAGACGCGAUUAUGGGCAACUGUAGGCGCGAACGAGCGGUAACAACGCCGAUGACUUGAGACCCAUAGCGCGGUCCAGGUGCGCCGGAGAAGAUACGCCAGGUGCUAUGAAUCCAUGUGCGCACUAUGGGGCCAGGAAGCCCCGGAGGGGGAGAGCCGCGAACCGGCUGAGCAGCUGUUAGCUUUGAACCAAGGCUCAAUGUUGUUAUUGUAAGAUAACGAGGACUGAACAGGGCACACAAUUCAGAUCGAUGCUUUUAUUAUAUCUUCUUUUUUUAUCACAGAUUACUUAGCUAUUGCUGGUUAUUUUCGACAUGCGCUACUAUAAAGAGUUUGCGACGAAAUAAUAUUUAUAGUCGUAAAGAAAUAUUAAGCGAUAAAAGUAGCGUAAAUAUUUCCGUUGUGUAUAGUUUCUUAUCGGUCUGAACGUUUUUUCCACAAAGGUCAUAUUGCCACGCAAUAUUAUUUGGGAGCAUAUAAAUUGACCCGCGUAGCCCAAAAAUUAUGGAACCCCUGCUUUAUAUAUCUCCUAGCGAAAUGCGCCGAGAGAAACAUCAUUUUCUCCUUUCAAGCGCGCCAAAAAUUUUAAAGCGAACACUGUAGGAUGCGAAGGUUUACAUAAAAAGACAUUCCUGUUCACGCAGCGGGCGUUAUUUAUAACGAUUUGACGUUGGCUAAACAAUCGGCGAGUUUCAGAGUAGUAAUGAAAGGCGAAAACUCGGGAAAUAAUGCUUAUUCGGCAUACUUGCAGGACAUGUUACGGCAGGAUAUAAGCGCUUGUUGUUUCUUAUUCGGUAAUAAUCAUAUAGGACUAUUCGCGAUGCCUUCCCUCCUGAUUUCGCGUCGAGCGGACUGAAGGAUUGGCCGCUUGCGGACCCGCCUGGCUCGGCCCGGCAUAGUGCACGCAUGUAUACCAAUAUGAAAUCUAAUAUCGUACUGUUACGUCGAAUAAGACAAGUGAUGGCGGCAUAAAAAAACUGUUCCAAAGGCUCACGUCUAUAUAUACUGUAUAUAUAUUGCGCUGAACGAUGUGUGCCGCGUUUCCAUAUUCUCAAAAGGAUUGGCACAAAAGUCGCUGCUCUUCCAACGGACGAUUGUCGGGAAAAACAAUAUGGAAAUGUCUCUCUGUUUGCGUCCCUCACUGCCGAUCGGCCACGUAUGACGGAAAGAAGAAAUGAGGUUGCUCCCCAUGUUGUUCUUCCUCUUCUUCUUCCUCGAUCCGAGUAUGGAGGAUAUAGCAGUGAAAUAUUUCUCUGAUUCUCUCCUGGCCUCCGCUUCCGUUGCUCUUAUAACAGGUGAAGCAUGCGACUUCCGGUCGAUGGCAAGUAGCGUGUUAGGUCGGAGGGAGCCGUGAUCGGCAAGAAAGUUUGGAACCGGAAAAUUGUCGCUUUGUGAGAACGCGUAGGGGACGGACAGGAAGUGAUGGUUGUUAGAGGGGAUGUUAGGCAAUGCCAGAGAAGAAAACAGGAAACAAUCCUGCAAUAUUUGCCGACGUCAAAAAUCGUAUCUGGAUGCGGCGGCCACAAACGGACGGAUGUAAAAUGCACGAGGAUGAGACACGCCAAAUGCAUUCGGAGAACGCCACCAGGAAACAGAGACCGAGGUUGGCCGGAAAACGCAGCAGAAUUAAUGAUAUUUUUUUAAGGUAAGCAAACAGGUAAGAGUCUAGUUGAGCCAUAGCACGCGAAUAUUUGAUAAAGCGACCGUCGAAUCGACAUUACAAUCUUAGCGUUUGAUUGCGCGGUGGAGUCGAGCAGAAGCGCCUUGGCGGCUCGGGUGCUUUAUCCCUGUUAGAUCGGAAGAGCGUC